rnacentral:lncRNA from 1 species
GUUUAAAGCAAAUACAUUCAUGGUCAGUCCUUUUAAGGGACUUACUGAAUAUUAACUCUUUUGCAAAAAAAUACCCACUGCUUAUCUGGGCAUACAAAUGCUACCCUAUUUUAAAUGUAGGUGGCGUGUGUGUUCGUGCUUUAAUGUAUUCCUUCCUUUCUUACCAUUUUUAAUUUUCCUAGGUUAGCAUGAACACUGACCAUAUGUUACUUGAUUUCCUGUGAUUGGGUUUUUUCUGUUGAUUAUUGAGGUGGGUUGGGCAAGAUCUGAAAGUGUUGAUUCACAUGUGAAAAUGUGUAAUGCUAAAAAGCUUUUGUUUAAUUUGAACAGUAAGCAAGGGCUUUUUCUAUAUACC